AUACGUAGGUGACAAGCGUUAUCCGGAUUUACUGGGCGUAAAGGGCGCGUAGGCGGUCUUGCAAGUCAGAAGUGAAAUUCCUGAGCUCAACUCGGGCGCUGCUUCUGAAACUGCCGGACUUGAGUGCUGGAGGGGAGAGAGGAAUUCCUAGUGGAGCGGUAAAAUGCGCAGAUAUUAAGAAGAACACCGGUGGCGAAGGCGGCUAUCUGGACAGUAACUGACGCUGAGGCGCGAAAGCGUGGGGAGCAAACAGGAUUAGAUACCCUGGUAGUCCUCGCCGUAAACGAUGAAUACUAGGUGUAGGGGGUAUCGACUCCCUCUGUGCCGCAGUUAACACAAUAAGUAUUCCGCCUGGGGAGUACGGCCGCAAGGUUGAAACUCAAAUGAAUUGACGGGG
rnacentral:rRNA from 1 species